GUUUGAUGAUCCUGCUCUACGAUGCACUGUCGGAUAUAACACAUAUACGUACGAUACGGUUUCAUGCCAGGAAUUGUGGUUCUUUGCAUGUGAAUUGGACUUAGUCCUUGACGGUCCGGAGUCUCCAUGUUUCCCCACGGUGGUCCUGGAUACCGGAAGUCGCCCUUACGACUCGCCGUUUCAGCUGUUGCGUGCUGGGGACUUCUCCACAUUCGGAAGUAUCAUUGACUUGGACUGUCCCGGAGACUACAGCAUCGCCUACACAUGGAGGGUUUGGCAGGAAGUGGUGCCCUCUCAUUCAGACGAGAUGGCAGAUAUACCUGCAGAACGUCCGUACCGAU